rnacentral:rRNA from 1 species
GCGUUAAGUUGCAGGGUAUAGACCCGAAACCCGGUGAUCUAGCCAUGGGCAGGUUGAAGGUUGGGUAACACUAACUGGAGGACCGAACCGACUAAUGUUGAAAAAUUAGCGGAUGACCUGUGGCUGGGGGUGAAAGGCCAAUCAAACCGGGAGAUAGCUGGUUCUCCCCGAAAGCUAUUUAGGUAGCGCCUCGUGAAUUCAUCUCCGGGGGUAGAGCACUGUUUCGGCUAGGGGGCCAUCCCGGCUUACCAACCCGAUGCAAACUGCGAAUACCGGAGAAUGUUAUCACGGGAGACACACGGCGGGUGCUAACGUCCGUCGUGAAGAGGGAAACAACCCAGACCGCCAGCUAAGGUCCCAAAGUCAUGGUUAAGUGGGAAACGAUGUGGGAAGGCCCAGACAGCCAGGAUGUUGGCUUAGAAGCAGCCAUCAUUUAAAGAAAGCGUAAUAGCUCACUGGUCGAGUCGGCCUGCGCGGAAGAUGUAACGGGGCUAAACCAUGCACCGAAGCUGCGGCAGCGACACUAUGUGUUGUUGGGUAGGGGAGCGUUCUGUAAGCCUGCGAAGGUGGCCUGUGAGGGUUGCUGGAGGUAUCAGAAGUGCGAAUGCUGACAUAAGUAACGAUAAAGCGGGUGAAAAGCCCGCUCGCCGGAAGACCAAGGGUUCCUGUCCAACGUUAAUCGGGGCAGGGUGAGUCGACCCCUAAGGCGAGGCCGAAAGGCGUAGUCGAUGGGAAACGGGUUAAUAUUCCCGUACUUGGUGUUACUGCGAAGGGGGGACGGAGAAGGCUAUGUUGGCCGGGCGACGGUUGUCCCGGUUUAAGCGUGUAGGUGUGUGUUCCAGGUAAAUCCGGUUCACUUUAACACUGAGGCGUGACGACGAGGCACUACGGUGCUGAAGCAACAAAUGCCCUGCUUCCAGGAAAAGCCUCUAAGCAUCAGGUAACAUCAAAUCGUACCCCAAACCGACACAGGUGGUCAGGUAGAGAAUACCAAGGCGCUUGAGAGAACUCGGGUGAAGGAACUAGGCAAAAUGGUGCCGUAACUUCGGGAGAAGGCACGCUGACACGUAGGUGAAGUGAUUUACUCACGGAGCUGAAGUCAGUCGAAGAUACCAGCUGGCUGCAACUGUUUAUUAAAAACACAGCACUGUGCAAACACGAAAGUGGACGUAUACGGUGUGACGCCUGCCCGGUGCCGGAAGGUUAAUUGAUGGGGUCAGCGCAAGCGAAGCUCCUGAUCGAAGCCCCGGUAAACGGCGGCCGUAACUAUAACGGUCCUAAGGUAGCGAAAUUCCUUGUCGGGUAAGUUCCGACCUGCACGAAUGGCGUAAUGAUGGCCAGGCUGUCUCCACCCGAGACUCAGUGAAAUUGAACUCGCUGUGAAGAUGCAGUGUACCCGCGGCAAGACGGAAAGACCCCGUGAACCUUUACUAUAGCUUGACACUGAACAUUGAGCCUUGAUGUGUAGGAUAGGUGGGAGGCUUUGAAGCGUGGACGCCAGUCUGCGUGGAGCCGACCUUGAAAUACCACCCUUUAAUGUUUGAUGUUCUAACGUGGACCCGUGAUCCGGGUUGCGGACAGUGUCUGGUGGGUAGUUUGACUGGGGCGGUCUCCUCCUAAAGAGUAACGGAGGAGCACGAAGGUUGGCUAAUCCUGGUCGGACAUCAGGAGGUUAGUGCAAUGGCAUAAGCCAGCUUGACUGCGAGCGUGACGGCGCGAGCAGGUGCGAAAGCAGGUCAUAGUGAUCCGGUGGUUCUGAAUGGAAGGGCCAUCGCUCAACGGAUAAAAGGUACUCCGGGGAUAACAGGCUGAUACCGCCCAAGAGUUCAUAUCGACGGCGGUGUUUGGCACCUCGAUGUCGGCUCAUCACAUCCUGGGGCUGAAGUAGGUCCCAAGGGUAUGGCUGUUCGCCAUUUAAAGUGGUACGCGAGCUGGGUUUAGAACGUCGUGAGACAGUUCGGUCCCUAUCUGCCGUGGGCGCUGGAGAACUGAGGGGGGCUGCUCCUAGUACGAGAGGACCGGAGUGGACGCAUCACUGGUGUUCGGGUUGUCAUGCCAAUGGCACUGCCCGGUAGCUAAAUGCGGAAGAGAUAAGUGCUGAAAGCAUCUAAGCACGAAACUUGCCCCGAGAUGAGUUCU